rnacentral:rRNA from 1 species
GACGUAGGGUGCGAGCGUUGUCCGGAUUUAUUGGGCGUAAAGAGCUCGUAGGCGGCUCGUCGCGUCAGCUGAUGAAAACCCGCGGCUUAACUGUGGGCUUGCAGCUGAUACGGGCGGGCUAGAGUUCGGUAGGGGAGACUGGAAUUCCUGGUGUAGCAGUGAAAUGCGUAGAGAUCAUGAGGAAGACCAGUGGCGAAGGCGGGUCUCUGGACAGUUCCUGACACUGAGACACGAAGGCCAGGGGAGCAAACGGG